CCUACGGGUGGCAGCAGUGGGGAAUAUUGGGCAAUGGGCGCAAGCCUGACCCAGCAAUGCCGCGUGAAGGAAGAAGGCUCUCUGGUUGUAAACUUCUUUUACAGGGGAAGUGCAGAAGACGGUACCCUGAAAACAAGCCACGGCUAACUACGUGCCAGCAGCCGCGGUAAUACGUAGGUUGCAAGCGUUGUCCGGAUUUACUGGGUGGAAAGGGCGUGUAGCCGGGAAGGCAAGUCAGAUGUGAAAUCUGGAGGCUCAACCUCCAAAUUGCAUUUGAAACUGUUUUUCUUGAGUACUGGAGAGGUAGACGGAAUUCCUGGUGUAGCGGUGAAAUGCGUAGAUAUAAGGAGGAACACCAGUGGCGAAGGCGGUCUGCUGGACAGCAACUGACGGUGAGGCGCGAAAGCGUGGGGAGCAAACAGGAUUAGAUACCCGUGUAGUC
rnacentral:rRNA from 1 species